rnacentral:rRNA from 1 species
AGUGAACGCUGGCGGUAGGCCUAACACAUGCAAGUCGAACGGCAGCACAGUAAGAGCUUGCUCUUACGGGUGGCGAGUGGCGGACGGGUGAGGAAUACAUCGGAAUCUACUUUUUCGUGGGGGAUAAUGUAGGGAAACUUACGCUAAUACCGCAUACGACCUACGGGUGAAAGCAGGGGAUCUUCGGACCUUGCGCGAUUGAAUGAGCCGAUGUCGGAUUAGCUAAUUGGCGGGGUAAAGGCCCACCAAGGCGACGAUCCGUAGCUGGUCUGAGAGGAUGAUCAGCCACACUGGAACUGAGACACGGUCCAGACUCCUACGGGAGGCAGCAGUGGGGAAUAUUGGACAAUGGGCGCAAGCCUGAUCCAGCCAUACCGCGUGGGUGAAGAAGGCCUUCGGGUUGUAAAGCCCUUUUGUUGGGAAAGAAAAGCAGCAGGUUAAUACCCCGCUGUUCUGACGGUACCCAAAGAAUAAGCACCGGCUAACUUCGUG